GAUGAACGCUAGCUACAGGCUUAACACAUGCAAGUCGAGGGGAAACGACAUCGAAAGCUUGCUUUUGAUGGGCGUCGACCGGCGCACGGGUGAGUAACGCGUAUCCAACUUGCCCAUCACUUGGGAAUAACCUUGCGAAAGUAAGACUAAUACCCAAUGAUAUCUCUAGAAGACAUCUGAAAGAGAUUAAAGAUUUAUCGGUGAUGGAUGGGGAUGCGUCUGAUUAGCUUGUUGGCGGGGUAACGGCCCACCAAGGCAACGAUCAGUAGGGGUUCUGAGAGGAAGGUCCCCCACAUUGGAACUGAGACACGGUCCAAACUCCUACGGGAGGCAGCAGUGAGGAAUAUUGGUCAAUGGGCGAGAGCCUGAACCAGCCAAGUAGCGUGCAGGAAGACGGCCCUAUGGGUUGUAAACUGCUUUUAUAAGGGAAUAAAGUGAGAGUCGUGACUCUUUUUGUAUGUACCUUAUGAAUAAGGACCGGCUAAUUCCGUG
rnacentral:rRNA from 1 species